GCGUAAUUGGUUUAGUGGUAAAAUUCUCCGUUGCCAUUCGAGUAGCGUCGGGGAGCCCAGGGUUCGAUUCCCUGAUUACGCA
rnacentral:tRNA from 1 species